rnacentral:piRNA from 1 species
CACAGGGCAUAAGAAGAGAGGAUUCCA